GGCCUCGUGGCCCAAUGGCAAGGCGUCUGACUACGAUAAAGAGUUGUCCAAGGUUAUCCAUCGGCUGACUCUUAGUGAUAAUCAGGAGAUUCUGGGUUCGACCCCCAGCGAGGUCA